rnacentral:tRNA from 1 species
CCCGCUGGUGGCUGGUGUAGGCGAACUGCUCCAUCUCCUCACGGGAGAUGUCCCACUUCUCGGCGAUCAGCUCGGCGCCGCGGAAC